CCUACGGGUGGCAGCAGUGGGGAAUAUUGCACAAUGGGGGAAACCCUGAUGCAGCAACGCCGCGUGAGCGAUGAAGGCCUUCGGGUCGUAAAGCUCUGUCCUAAGGGAAGAAUACUGACGGUACCUUAGGUGGAAGCCCCGGCUAACUACGUGCCAGCAGCCCCGGCCAUACGUAGGGGGCUAGCGUUAUUCGCAAUUACAGGGCGUAAAGAGUGCGUAGGCGGCCCUUCAGGCCAGAGGUGAAAGGCUAAGGCACAACCGUAGUAAGCCUUUGAAACUGCAGGGCUUGAGUGCAGAAGAGGAGAGUGGAAUUCCGAGUGUAGCGGUGAAAUGCGUAGAUAUUGGGAGGAAAACCAGUUGCGAAGGCGGCUCUCUUGACUGUAACUGACGCUGAGGCACGAAAGCGUGGGGAGCGAACAGGAUUAGAUACCCUAGUAGUC
rnacentral:rRNA from 1 species